rnacentral:SRP_RNA from 1 species
GGAGGGGUCCCACCCAGAGGAAUGCUGCGAACUUGGUCAGGCCCUGACGGGAGCAGCCAUAAGCAGAGGACCGAGUGGCGUGGAGUCACCUCUCUCGG